rnacentral:tRNA from 1 species
UAGAAUGUAGCUAAAAAGUAACAGCAUCUCCCUUACACUGAGAAGUCACCCGUGCGAAUCGAGUCGUUCUAA